GACGAACGCUGGCGGCGUGCCUAAUACAUGCAAGUUGAGCGCUGAAGGUUGGUACUUGUACCAACUGGAUGAGCAGCGAACGGGUGAGUAACGCGUGGGGAAUCUGCCUUUGAGCGGGGGACAACAUUUGGAAACGAAUGCUAAUACCGCAUAAAAACUUUAAACACAAGUUUUAAGUUUGAAAGAUGCAAUUGCAUCACUCAAAGAUGAUCCCGCGUUGUAUUAGCUAGUUGGUGAGGUAAAGGCUCACCAAGGCGAUGAUACAUAGCCGACCUGAGAGGGUGAUCGGCCACAUUGGGACUGAGACACGGCCCCAGCUCCUACGGGAGGCAGCAGUAGGGAAUCUUCGGCAAUGGACGUCAGUCUGACCGAGCAACGCCGCGUGAGUGCAGAAGGUUUUCGGAUCGUAAAACUCUGUUGGUAGAGAAGAACGUUGGUGAGAGUGGAAAGCUCAUCAAGUGACGGUAACUACCCAGAAAGGGACGGCUAACUACGUG
rnacentral:rRNA from 1 species